AUUGAACGCUGGCGGCAGGCCUAACACAUGCAAGUCGAGCGGAGCGGCGGACGGGUGAGUCAUGCCUAGGAAUCUGCCUGGUAGUGGGGGAUAACGUCCGGAAACGGGCGCUAAUACCGCAUCCUAUCAGAUGAGCCUAGGUCGGAUGUGCUAGGUGGUGUGGGAAAGGCCUACCAAGGCGACGAUCCGUAACUGGUCUGAGAGGAUGAUCAGUAACACUGGAACGGAGAAACGGUCCAGACUCCUACGGGAGGCAGCAGUGGGGAAUAUUGGACAAUGGGCGAAAGCCUGAUCCAGCCAUGCCGCGUGGGUGAAGAAGGUCUUCGGUGGGGAAAGCACUUGAAGUUGGGAGGCGUUACCAACAGAAUAAGCACCGGCUAACUUCGUGCCAGCAGCCGCGGUAAUAC
rnacentral:rRNA from 1 species